GGACGUGAGGGCGAUCUGGUUGCAGCAGCUGCCACCCCAGUGACCGCAGGGUUGACUCAGCUGAUCUGGCUGGGCAGGUGCAUGUCCCCACCCUCCCUCACCGCCCCAUCUGUGUCCCUCCUGAAGCUGCUCACUCGGCCAAAGAGGAUGACCAUUCCCAACAGAGGAGGACCAGACUCCCGUCAAGCGUAUACGAGUAUACGCUCCCCUGCUAGAACCUCCAAACAAGCUCUCAGGAAGCACACUUGAAUAUAACAGCGCAAAGUGCAAGUAAAGCAAACACGAAAAAAAAGAGCAGGU
rnacentral:snRNA from 1 species